UACGGGGGGGGCAAGCGUUGUUCGGAAUUACUGGGCGUAAAGCGCACGUAGGCGGCUUUGUAAGUUAGAGGUGAAAGCCUGGGGCUCAACUCCAGAACUGCCUUUAAGACUGCAUCGCUUGAACGUCGGAGAGGUGAGUGGAAUUCCGAGUGUAGAGGUGAAAUUCGUAGAUAUUCGGAAGAACACCAGUGGCGAAGGCGGCUCACUGGACGACUGUUGACGCUGAGGUGCGAAAGCGUGGGGAGCAAACAGG
rnacentral:rRNA from 1 species